CUACAGUAUAAUGGAGGUGGUGAAAAAAGGAUGAAGAUAUGCAAGACGUAAACAGCUCUGGGAGGCUGGCACUCAAACCUCUGGAGAGAAGGUCAAAAGGAAACCAAUCAGCCCUUGGCUGUACCUGUGGCAGUGACAGUGGCCCCUUCCCCACUCUGUGACAAGCACUGUGCCAGGAUAGAGAUGUGCCAAUGGGGGUGGAACAGAGGAGGCUGUGCAAAAACCCAGAGGAGCCGACUGUACAGGGAGUAGGAGCAGUCCCUGCCUGAGGGACCCCAACUGGGAGAGAACGCAGAGACAAGCACUGCUUGGAGGCUGGAACAUCCCUGGCAAGUGGAACUCUGUGGCUUCACCAAAACUCUGGCACUUAAAUGAGUCAGUGUGACCACUUCCUGUUCUUCAGAGUCUGUCUGUGAGUCUCUCCUUCCCCUCCACACACUUACCAGAUGCAUAACCAGGCACAGAAAGGCCAUGUAACUUCUCCAAGUCCAC
ensembl:lncRNA